AAUAGGAAGGCAGGUCCAUCCGGGACUACCGGCACAAAGGUCGUCUACAUCUCCGAUGACAACUAAUAGUAGGUUUUAGCUAUGUAGUGAAAGGUAGCUUUUGGUUGCAUGGUGUAGUACGGAUUUGAGGUUACGUGGUUGCACCGAACGCAAAAUGAGGGGUAACCAGGCCAUUUCCGCCUUUGCGCCCGGAGGCGUCCACAGACGUAUAGAGGACCGGAUUAGCUAGGUCUGGCUGCAGAUGCUCUUAUAGAUGUAUUUCUUUGAGGCAAUCUUAUUUUUUGAGGCACUUUGACUCUAGCAUACAGUUUUUUUUAGGCAACUCUAGCAUAGAGUUGCUCUUAAAUAUUGCGAAACAUCAUCACAGACUGUUGCGGUAAGUUCGGCCCAACUCCUCCUUCCUCGGGUCUGGGCCGCUACUCCCACUGUCCUGACCGGCCUCUGCGUCCUCGGCAACAAAAAAACACCGCGGCAUGGCGCGUUUGCAGAGCCUCGCCGCCCUCGCCGCGGCGGCGGCGGCCGCCGUCCUCGCAGGCAGUUCGCAGGUACUCCCUCUUCCCCCUAACCUCGUGGAUCCAAGUGUCAAACACUUGCCUCUCCUUCCUCAUCGGUGCACCUACUCUCCGCAGGCCUGCUCCACAAACGCAAGUGCGGCCGCUUGACCGCGCGGCUGCGGGAGCUAGAGGACUCCCUGGCCGACGCCGUGGAGAAGGCCGCCGCAGGAUUCGGGCUCAGCAGGUCGGUCCCCCACGAAGCUCCGCACCGCAGGUUCAACUUUGCGCAUUUAACUCUCGAUUCUGGCAGUCACUACGGAGGGCCCUCAGCGAGCAGGGGGGCAGCCCGGAUAGGGGGAAGCCGGCCAAGGCCCCGGCGUUGUACCCGAUGUCGGCGACCGGCACCGUGCAGUCCUGCUUCUCCACCAGGCCAGUAGUUCUUUUACCCCUGGAAAUGACAGUUGACCCAUUGCUGGACAUAACUAUGCUUGUCUCAGAAAUAAAUUAUCAAUGCAAUCAAAAGGGAAGAAGUUGAAGCAACUCCAGUAAGUAUGAAUAGUCCCCUGAAGUUCGCAAACGAAUCUGAGAACCCCGGGGUACCUGUGUGGACUCUCCUGGCCAGAUCACAGGAUAUAGGUCAUGCGCUGAGCCCGAAAGUGCUGUUGCAGGUUUGGUUUUAUUUAAUUGCUGUGAGAUUCCAUUUUGUGCAGUCCAGAAUCCAAUUUCUCUCCAUCCUUUCCCUAUCACAUUUAUUAUUUGAAAUGUUGAAAUUUGCAGCUGCCUGUCUGAAAGGUCAAAAUUGCCACUGAGGCCUUCAAAUUGAUUCUGCAAGAUUUCUUGUAAUAGUUUUGGACCAUUACUAGAUGUUUCAAGGUUUCCAAGCUUGUUGAGUUUCUUGUGACACCUGGUUUUGUAAAUGUGGCAUUUUUAAGUCCAACUUUUUCUGCAGCUUGUGCUACUACCCAGAUUGUAUCAUAGCUCCACAUUCCAAAGGUGCUUAAUUUCAACGUUGGAAGCUGACACAUACAACAAUAUGCUCAUUAUAUGAGCAACAAAACUGGCACCUGUGAGUGAGUCAUUGUUUCUUCUCUGCACACUAACAAGUCAACCACUGCAGACCAAAAUUCUGAACACCAGAUUUGCCAACUAUUACCAUUACAGUAGCUAAAAGUUGCAAUUCUUGAUUUUCAGGGUGUGUCAUCGUUUCAUUUACCUUUUGUAUCGUGUUUUUAAUACAUCAAAUUUCAUGUCGUAAUAAUGCAAACUUUGUGCUUGUUGUUAGAGCUCUUCUGCAUGUCGGUUUACCCAUAACCACUUACGAGUACAUCCACAAUCCCAACCCAACUGAGCUAGGCUCAGGUCCUAAGAUGCACAAUUGACGGACGGAGUGCUCAGUUAGUCCAUUUCAGCAGUAAAAGUGUAAAGCAGAAUAAGCCAAUGCAGUGAACUCAUGACAAGAGUUCAGAGCACGUACCUUGAGAUGCAGCUCGGACAUCAUCCCUCAUGGAAUCUCUGAUGUGGAGGACUAGCUUGGUGCUAUAGUUGUGAUGAACAGCAUAGAAGUCCUCCAUAGCCAAUGAAAUGCUGGUCCGUGCUAUUUUGCCAACCAUGGUCUCCAAGUCAAGGAUAACGCCGACAUGGAGUUCCUGUGCUGCCCUAGAAGCAUUUUGGGCGACGACAAAGUUAAGUGGCAGCAAGAGGAGCAGGAUGACUCUACAUGCAAUCUCCAUCUGCUGAGCCAGAGGUUUGCAGACUCUUCUUGCAUUCAGGGGGUGUGGUUAUAUAGACGUUUUUACAGUAGUCCCUGUCCGAGGGUCAGUCAAGCAUUCAAACUGUAGUUUUAGUAUGACGGUGAGCUCAUUUAUUGAGUGGUAUGAAGCGCUGUUUCUAACCUGUGAAUUGCUUGGUAAAAAGGAUUUUGACGAGGUGCUCGAUACAAUUGGUGCCAUCAGUUUGAAGACCUCGCAAGUCAUUAUUCUAUAGACAUUCAUCCAGUGAUCUGUUCUCGGUAAUUUACUCCGCUUACUAAUGCUGGUUAGUCCCGCAAAAAAUGCAACUUUACUUGAAACUCAUUUGCGUCUUAUUGGGCGAUGAAAUGGUCUCACCAUCAAGUUAUUUCUCAAAGCCAGUCACACAGGCUCCUACUGCACAUCUUCCCGGCUGGCGCAUCUGACGGUUGACUUGACUGUACCAGUGAAAUGGUCUACUAUGUACUCCAGUUAGGAUUGGCUCAAUGUGUUAUCGUUUACCCCAGUUGGCAUUUGAUAUAGUAGUUGUUCUCGCUUGUCAGCAGAACGUACAUGUUCAACUUGGAACAAGUCCUACAGCCUGAUCUCACCACUAUGAUUUCUUUCGCUCUUGUUGAUGCAGGGGACAAGAAGUGCUGAUGUCAGAUGGUUUCCCCUGUUAUGAAGCACGGCAGUGCGCCAGUGCCGCAGUAACCUGGUGCAUGGGUCGCGAGACGUCUGCGUAGAAGCCCGCUGCAGUUUUUUGCGAAGCUGAUACGGGACGGCACUGUUUAUGAUCCGGCACCGAGGAGGCCUGUUGAACGGCAAAGGGCAAGUGAGACGGCGAGAAAAAAGAAAGCUCAGUCAGAGCUGGUCGCCGCAGAUGGGGCUUCUGACAACGGUGAGCUGGUGGCGCGCGGGUGCCGGCGUGGCGAUCCGUGAAGAGCAAGGCCGCGCGGUGGGUGAUUUGGUGGCUCGCCGGUGGUGUGUGCAUGCAACGCACUGAAGGAACCCGACUGGCUAGCACGGGAUGAGCCGCGCUGCUUCUGUUGGCAUGCUGCAACCUGCGGGGCUAGCUCCAGAUCGGUGACGGCUUGUGCACGACAAGCAAAAGAGCCGGUGGACCUCCGUGAACUGAUUGGCAUAAUUAUGUGUGUGCGUGUGUGUGGCUGACUCAGAUUCCUGCCUGUACCUUGUAGAUGACCCAAAGUGCAAAACCUCUCCCAGGAGAGAAAAGGAGAGGAUGAAUUGUUUUAAAGAAAUCAGGGGAGAAUUUUUGA